UACGUAGGGGGCAAGCGUUAUCCGGAUUUACUGGGUGUAAAGGGAGCGCAGACGGCUUAGCAAGUCUGAUGUGAAAGGCAUGGGCUUAACCCGUGGACUGCAUUGGAAACUGUUGAGCUUGAGUGCCGGAGAGGUAAGCGGAAUUCCUAGUGUAGCGGUGAAAUGCGUAGAUAUUAGGAGGAACACCAGUGGCGAAGGCGGCUUACUGGACGGUAACUGACGUUGAGGCUCGAAAGCGUGGGGAGCAAAC
rnacentral:rRNA from 1 species